AUGGAGGAGACGGCGGCCGUGGCGGCGGCGGCGGCGACGGAGACGGGGACGCCGGAGAAGUCGUCGUACAGGUACUGGGUGCGGCAGGCCACGGGCGAGGCGGCGCCCCCCCCCGUGCCCCGCAAGCUCGACCCCUCCGCCGCCAACGGCGGCGGCGGCAACCCCAACGCCCUCGGCUCCGUCUGGAACCAGGCUGGAACAUGGGAGGAAAAGAACCUCAAUUCAUGGGCUAAUGGUAGGAUAAAGGAUUUGCUGGGUUCUUUAGGUUCACUGGAUUUCUCCACAGGGAAGGCAUCCAUUGAUGAAGUGUCCAAAUGCUCUGGCGAUGCAUUUCUAGUAACGGUUCGUAAUAAGAAGAGAGUAGGUUAUAAUUAUGAACUGAGCUUGAGAUUUAAAGGUGAAUGGUUAGUCAAGGAAGAGAAGAAGAAGGUCACUGGCCAUAUAGACAUCCCCGAGUUUUCAUUUGGUGAGCUUGAUGACCUCGAGGCAGAAGUUAGGUUCACCGAUACCCUCGAAUGGGAUGACAAGUCGCGGAUCUGCAAGGAUGUGAAAUUGUUCCUUUCGCCUAUAAAGGAGAAGCUGCGGACGUUCGAGCUAGAGCUGAAAGAUAGGUAG
rnacentral:rRNA from 1 species